rnacentral:rRNA from 1 species
AAUGUCGGCCGUAACUAUAACGGUCCUAAGGUAGCGAAAUUCCUUGUCGGGUAAGUUCCGACCUGCACGAAUGGUGUAACGAUCUGGGCACUGUCUCAGCCAUGAGCUCGGUGAAAUUGUAGUAUCGGUGAAGAUGCCGAUUACCCGCAACGGGACGGAAAGACCCCGUGAACCUUUACUAUAGCUUCACAGUGGACUUUGAACCUGCUUGUGUAGGAUAGCUGGGAGACUUUGAAGCGGUGACGCUAGUCAUCGUGGAGUCGUCCUUGAAAUACCAGCCUGGCAUGUUUGAGGUUCUAACCUAGGUCCAUUAUCUGGAUCGGGGACAUUGUGUGGUGGGUAGUUUGACUGGGGCGGUCUCCUCCCAAAG